AUGUCUGCGCCCCCAUCACCGCGACCUCCUCGCCUGGCGGCCUGCUCAUGUGUUCAUCGUCUGAGGAGAAGAAGGAUCUCCUUUUCUUUUCAUCAACACCAAGAGCGAGCAAGCACAACCCCGGGAGCAGCCAGUCAAAGGAUGGAUGUGGAAAAUGCGAGAGAGCAUCAAGAUCGUCUUGCUAAAAUGUGCAGCCUUCUAUUUUGUCAUGAAAUGAAAGAAAGCAAAGCGUGUGAAGAACAUCAAAUCCAGGACAUAUCACCGGUUGUUCAAGACAGACAAACUGAAGGCAUCCUUAGCAGACUUGGAGGCAGAUCCAGAAGCUUCAAAAGAUUCCGCUAUGAAACUAGAAUCUAA
rnacentral:rRNA from 1 species